GAUGAACGCUGGCGGCGUGCCUAAUACAUGCAAGUCGAGCGAACGGACGAGAAGCUUGCUUCUCUGAUGUUAGCGGCGGACGGGUGAGUAACACGUGGAUAACCUACCUAUAAGACUGGGAUAACUUCGGGAAACCGGAGCUAAUACCGGAUGAUAUUUUGAACCGCAUGGUUCAAAAGUGAAAGACGGUCUUGCUGUCACUUAUAGAUGGAUCCGCGCUGCAUUAGCUAGUUGGUAAGGUAACGGCUUACCAAGGCAACGAUGCAUAGCCGACCUAAGAGGGUGGUCGGCCACACUGGAACUGAGACACGGUCCAGACUCCUACGGGAGGCAGCAGUAGGGAAUCUUCCGCAAUGGGCGAAAGCCUGACGGAGCAACGCCGCGUGAGUGAUGAAGGUCUUCGGAUCGUAAAACUCUGUUAUUAGGGAAGAACAUAUGUGUAAGUAACUGUGCACAUCUUGACGGUACCUAAUCAGAAAGCCACGGCUAACUACGUG
rnacentral:rRNA from 1 species